GGGGGAAUAGCUCAGUGGCAGCGCACAUGCUUAGCAUGCAUGGGGUCCUAGGUUCAAUCCCCGGUACCUCCA
rnacentral:tRNA from 1 species